AGCGUUCCGUAUUCGUGCUGAGAUUUUGUCCCAUACCAGAUCACAAGGACUGAUGAAACUCCCUAGAUAGGUGAAGUG
rnacentral:pre_miRNA from 1 species